rnacentral:lncRNA from 1 species
GCUCUCGCCCCCUCCCAACACAGCGGGAGCCCUUGAUUCGAUCCCGAAGGAGGCGAGCGAGCAAGAGCCUGGAUCUACAUGGCUCGCGUGUCCCUUCCGCUUUCCGCACCCCCACGCAGACCUCGCCGAGGCUACGCGGCGCUCCGGGAGCUGUUCCGAGCUCCGAGUGGGGCAGGGAGUUGAAGUUUUCUUGCCAUCAGAUUAUUUUGAAAUACUGAGAAUGCGGCUUGUGGGAAACCAAAAGCUCCGUGGGCUCAUGGACGUGUCUGCCAACUUGGGGCUAAGUGUCAUGAAUCUGAGAAGCAAGUUGCAUGCCCACCUCCCACCUACGUCACUCCUCCCGAAGCCUCUUUUUCCGGCCUAAUGCCUCCACUGGGCCACUUGCAAGUCUUGCCACUGCUUAGGGAAAGGGUCUGCACCCGGGCGCAGGGCAGCAAAAGCCGG